GACGAACGCUGGCGGCGUGCUUAACACAUGCAAGUCGAACGGAAAGGCCCUGCUUUUGUGGGGUGCUCGAGUGGCGAACGGGUGAGUAACACGUGAGUAACCUGCCCUUGACUUUGGGAUAACUUCAGGAAACUGGGGCUAAUACCGGAUAGGAGCUCCUGCUGCAUGGUGGGGGUUGGAAAGUUUCGGCGGUUGGGGAUGGACUCGCGGCUUAUCAGCUUGUUGGUGGGGUAGCGGCUUACCAAGGCUUUGACGGGUAGCCGGCCUGAGAGGGUGACCGGCCACAUUGGGACUGAGAUACGGCCCAGACUCCUACGGGGGGCAGCAGUGGGGAAUAUUGCACAAUGGGCGGAAGCCUGAUGCAGCAACGCCGCGUGCGGGAUGACGGCCUUCGGGUUGUAAACCGCUUUCGCCUGUGACGAAGCGUGAGUGACGGUAAUGGGUAAAGAAGCACCGGCUAACUACGUG
rnacentral:rRNA from 1 species